CCCGCAUGGCCCUGCCGCCGGCCGCCCCUGCGGGCUGCGCGGCCGCUCCGCUGUAGCAACCCCUUCGGGAAGGUGCCGGCCCGGCGGCGGGGCUGGCCGCGGCCGCGCUCCUCGCCACCCCGGCCCCGUCCGUCUGUCCGGCCGCCAGUCCCUCCGUCCGUCCAGCGGCAGCGCCCAGGAUUACGCAGCUGGGCGCGGAGCGGCAGCGCUUGGCGAGGAUCAACCUGGCGCAGGCUCUUGAACCUGAUCUACAAUGGAAAAACUGCUUUUGUUUCUGCUGUUCAUUGGCAUAGCGGUGAGAGCUCAGAUCUGCCCAAAGCGCUGUGUCUGUCAGAUUUUGUCUCCGAACCUUGCCACCCUUUGUGCCAAGAAAGGGCUCUUAUUUGUUCCUCCCAAUAUUGACAGGAGGACCGUGGAGUUACGGCUGGCAGACAACUUUGUUACAAACAUUAAAAGGAAGGACUUUGCCAAUAUGACCAGCCUGGUGGACCUGACACUGUCCAGGAAUACAAUCAGUUUUAUUACACCUCACGCAUUUGCUGACUUGCGUAAUUUGCGGGCUUUGCAUCUGAACAGCAACCGAUUGACUAAGAUCACAAAUGACAUGUUCAGUGGACUCUCCAAUCUUCACCACUUGAUACUUAACAACAACCAGCUGACUUUAAUUUCUUCUACAGCUUUUGAUGAUGUUUUAGCUCUUGAGGAAUUGGAUUUGUCUUACAACAACCUGGAAACCAUCCCCUGGGAUGCCGUGGAGAAGAUGGUUAGUUUGCACACUCUCAGUCUAGACCAUAACAUGAUUGACCAUAUUCCCAAGGGGACCUUCUCCCACCUGCACAAAAUGACCAGGUUGGAUGUCACGUCUAACAAACUGCAGAAGCUACCACCUGAUCCUCUCUUCCAGCGAGCUCAAGUACUAGCAACCUCAGGAAUUAUCAGCCCCUCGACUUUUGCAUUGAGCUUUGGUGGGAACCCUUUGCAUUGCAACUGUGAGCUUUUGUGGUUGAGGCGUCUUUCAAGGGAGGAUGACCUGGAGACUUGUGCUUCUCCUACGCUCUUGUCUGGCCGGUACUUCUGGUCAAUCCCUGAGGAGGAGUUCCUGUGUGAGCCUCCUCUCAUCACCCGGCACACCCAUGAGCUGCGGGUGCUGGAGGGCCAGCGGGCAGCAUUGCGGUGUAAGGCCCGGGGGGACCCUGAGCCAGCAAUUCAUUGGAUUUCACCUGAGGGCAAACUGAUUUCAAAUGCAACGAGGUCUGUGGUGUAUGACAACGGGACACUUGACAUCCUGAUAACAACGGUGAAGGAUACAGGCUCCUUCACCUGCAUUGCUUCCAAUCCAGCUGGGGAGGCCACGCAGACAGUGGACCUGCACAUAAUCAAACUCCCCCACUUGCUGAACAGCACGAACCACAUCCAUGAGCCUGACCCUGGCUCCUCGGAUAUCUCUACUUCCACCAAGUCAGGCUCCAACGCGAGCAGUAGCAAUGGGGAUACUAAAGUCAGCCAAGAUAAGAAGGUGGUCGUUGCGGAAGCAACAUCUUCUACUGCUCUGCUGAAAUUCAAUUUUCAGAGGAAUAUACCUGGGAUACGUAUGUUCCAAAUCCAGUACAAUGGUACUUAUGAUGACUCCCUUGUUUACAGAAUGAUACCUCCCACAAGCAAAACCUUCCUGGUCAACAACCUGGCUGCUGGGACUGUGUAUGACCUCUGCGUCCUGGCGAUCUACGACGACGGGAUCACCUCGCUCACCGCCACCAGGGUGGUGGGCUGCACGCAGUUCACCACUGAGCAGGAUUAUGUGCGCUGCCACUUCAUGCAGUCCCAGUUCCUGGGUGGGACCAUGAUUAUCAUCAUUGGUGGGAUCAUUGUGGCCUCUGUGCUUGUGUUCAUCAUCAUCCUCAUGAUCCGCUACAAGGUGUGUAACAACAACGGGCAGCAGAAGGCCACCAAGGUCAGCAACGUAUACUCACAGACGAACGGGGCUCAGAUCCAGGGCUGCAGUGGGGUGCUGUCGCAGUCGAUGUCCAAGCAGGCUGUUGGGCAUGAAGAGGGCAUCCAGUGCUGCAAGGCUGCUAGCGAUGGCGUGACGCAGUCACCAGAGACUGGCUCCAGCCAGGACUCGGCCACUACUACCUCCACUUUGCCUCCCACCUGGACUUCUAGCACUUCUGUCUCCCAGAAGCAGAAGCGAAAGUCGGGGCCAAAGCCAAGCAGCGAGUCGCAGAGUGAAGCUGUCAGCAGUAUCGAGUCCCAAAACAGUAACAGAAAUAACUCCACUGCCCUGCAGUUAGCUAGCCGUCCCCCUGACUCUGUCAAAGGGGCCCCCACGUACAAAAGAGCACAAUCAAAGCCAAGUAAGUUCCUCACUUUGCCAGCUGACGCAUCCCGAGCCAAGCGCAGGCUCUCCCUGGGCGGCGAGCUGAUGGAGUCCCGCUGCCCCGGCAGCACCUGGGGCGCAGGCGGACUGCGGUCCAAAAGGAGCAUGUCCAUGAAUGGGAUGCUAGUUCAGUCGGACAGCUCUGAUGUGAAUAGUGGAAAAGCAACUUUCUCCAGUUCUGAGUGGAUAUUGGAAAGCACUGUGUGACCUGCCUUUUUUUUUUUGUUAUUAUUUUUCUUUUUUUAUUUUAGUUUUUAUUUCAAUGAAAAAAUGCCAAACGUGUGAAUCUCCCUCUUCCAGGGAAUUGGAUUUGGAAGUCCACUGCUGUCUCGCUGAUUAAUGGCUUGUUCAUGCAGGGUUCUGUAUAAGCCACCCAGUGCACACGGGGUUUUAUUUAGUUUUCAUUUGGUUUUAUUUAAUAUCAAAACCGAAGGCAACAUUUAGAGGUUAAAAGUAUAAAAAUAAAAAAAAAAGGAAAAAAAAAAGAUUAAGGGGUGAAAAAGAAGCAUGAAACAGCACCAGUGCCUUCCCUACUCUAGGACUGGCUUCCUGGUUCUGCAGUAGCAGAAAACAAAAGAGAGAGUUUUCACAGAAAAAGCCUUUUAUAAAGGAAAUGAAAUUUCCUCCAAGCUAACAAAUAACCACUUCUGGAUCAAUCAGUAAAAUGAUAUUUUUUAAAACGGUCAGACUGUAUAUUUCUUUUCCGUGACAAUGGUGUUGCCUUUGUUUUUAGGCAGAUGCUGUACAAGAACAGCAACGCUGUGUUGUUAUGUUGUGUAAAAUAAACUAUUCACUCCGUACACCAGCCAGCCUCACGGUAACUGCCACCCCAGAGCUGUGCUGGGGCCUGUGGGUUGCUGCUCAGUGGGUCCUACUGUGGGGCCAGGAGGAGCAGGAGGAGGGUGCCGGGGUCCCUCUCCUCCUGCUGGGGUCUGGCUUGCUGGGGUUGGGUGCUGGUGGAGCAGCAGGACUCUGCCACUGGACCUCACCAAGAGAGUGCCUGACAUGUAGACCCUGAGCACCCUCAUCCUGCGGUGCUGGGUCUGGCAGUGGUGACCAGCCACUCACUGCGCACCCUUCUCAGCCCCGUCCGAGAGCCUGGUCCUGCUGCCACAAUGGCUUUGCCUAGUGCCAAUGCUGGAAAAACACAUUGUGUUCAGCAGCAGGGAUGCUGUGCCCAACUCAUGCGGGACUGGGUUUGCUGCUCCGUUUUCAGACCUGAUUCCUGCUCUGGCAGUCAGUGCAGUGAAGGUUGUUCCUUCCCAUCAGCACAGGGGUAUGAGGCGUGGAACGCUGGAAAUGGGAGCCUGCGGGAAGUGUGGGAGCAGCACUGCGGCAUGGGCACUGCAGCAGUCCCGCAGGACUCCUGUGGGACAAGAGAUGUGAUGGGGGGCACCAGGCAGAGUGCUGGCAUCUUGGGGUGUGGGACAGGGAGCCAAGCAGGGGCAGCGAGUAGGGCUGGUGGGUCAUCCCAGAGCUGCAGGGCAGGGCUGCAGCAGACGGGUUCGUAGCCAUUCAGUGCCUCACAGUGGUGAUUGAUGAGGAUGAUAAUGGUUAUUUCUGUCUUUCCUGGACUUUUGGGGCAUAUUUCUUGUAAACUCUAUGGUUUAUUCCAGUUCUGUUUAAUCCCCAUGCAUAAUGGGACUGGAAGAUGGUCUCAUCUUCAACCUGCUGAUUGCAGUGCCUGUGGGAUAGACAUAACAUCUGGCAAUAGGUGAUAGCAAUUGAAAACCCCCAUGUGUGAGGGGUUCUGCUGCUCUGCUUGUUCUAAAGAAAAGUCUACCAUUCAUAUUAAUUAAACUCAUGUGGUCAUCAUGUUUAAAUUAGAGACAGCUUAACUCUGCAAUAUUAGUGCAUUCUCAAAUGCCAAAUAACAGGUUUGACUGGGGCAUUGUGGCCAUUAAAAUGUUAGAAUAGUUACAUUUUACACCCUGUGUGCUUGCGCUUGAGGGCAAUGUAACCCAAGCAGAUGCCUGGAGAUGCCCUGGUUCUAACCAGGGCAGAGGGCCAGCUCGAGAGCAGUUGUGGAUGGGGAUGUCUUGUGUCUGGGGACAUCUGGCAGGCCCCUGGUCUCUGAGGCCCUGAAGCUCAGGGCUGAUGCGCAGGCAAGGUGACCCUUCUUCCUCUCAGCCAUCGUGGGUUGCUCUCUGUGAUUUUGCUGCCUGGUGUGGAAAAAAGAAGUCUGGGUGGGAGUGGUGCAAAGGACAUAAACAGAAGAGGCUGUUUCUUUUUUAGAGAGCCCUUUUAACUUCCCUUGGGAAAUGCAGAGACAAAAAAGGAAAUGAAGCCUCAAAAUUAGAAUGCCCCCUUCUUACUGCAAAAGUAACAAAAAAACCUCAGCCACCCCAAAAAAAUCCCUCCCUAGAUUUCUCUGGAAGACUACAUUCUUCUCAAGAGGCUGUGUGCACAGAAGCUAGCUAUUAAAAUAGUACACUGUCAGAGGCAGUGAGUAUUUGUCCAACCUCCAGUAGUCUGAUGCCAAAGGCACUGUCAAACAUGGUAAAAGCAAGUGCUCUCAUGUCCCAGUGAGAAGCUGCUCUCUGCAGACAGCACCAGUACUUGGGUAUAGAGAUAGCUUCAAAGGUUUUCUGCUGAGGUAUUUGUUUUAAUCGUGCAUUUUAAAAACACCCAAUGAAAAUGCUUUAUAUGUCGUAAUUGGACGUAAAUGUGUCUAAUGUUCUGUGAAAGUGCUAAAAUAUUAAUAGCUUCUUGUGGUUUAGGGAGGUUUAUUUUUAUAUUUUUGAUUUUUUUACCCUAAUAAUUUUCUAAACUGAAAUUUAGCUGAGUGUUUUGUCCACAGUGCAUAUGUAUAAGCAGCUUAGAAGGACCAUAUGUCCCUUCGUUUGAUCUAAUUCUCUGCUAAUAGUGUAGGAAUGGUUAGACCUGGGUAGCUGGGGGUUCAUCUUGUGCAGCUUUCGCUUCUUUGGCAGAGAGGAGUGUCCCUUGGGAAUGCACUGGGUGUAAAAUCUGCCGUUUCCACUGGAGUAACUGUGCAGCAGGAUGUUUCGUUUUAUUCAGAGUGUGGAAAAGCCUUAUGAAGGAGGAAAUUCUCUGUCCUUUCUGUUCUGCAAAACCAGAGGUUGCCAACAGUUUGAGGCAGAAAAAGUGCUGAGAAACUCCUUGAUCAGAAUAACAUUGGUACGUCUUUUGUCGGAGUGCAGUACUGCAACAUUUCCUAAUGCUUCAGAAUGGAGGAUAUCAGUAAACCCCAACAGGAUGUUCCCCAUUGUGGAUCAUGGGGGUGCUGACAUGUAGGGCAGUACUGGGGUGCCAGGGGAUGCUAGCCCAGUGCUGCAACUCCGGCUUCACCCUAGGCAGCAAAGACUUGUUCCAGCAGAUGCAAACCUGCCCCUGGAGCAUCACCCACCUGCGGGUCUGCUCCUUGAGAGGCUUCUCAAUAAUAGAGAAACCCAGGUUUUAGCUAUGAGAUGGUGUCUUUUUGGACAAGCACUGGAGGAGGAGAAACGACUUCAGAAAUUUGUUUAUUCUUGUUAAAUUUGCUGGCACAUGCUUCCUCUUAAAACUUUUCCUAAACCUUUUCUCAGAGCAUACGUGUUGUGUUAAAGAGGGCUGGUACAAACAAUGUCUGGUUGGAGAAGCAGGGCUUUGAAGCCGGGGCUGAUCCGCAGGAUGCCUGCCCUCCUCUGCUCCCUGAAAACGUUGCAACCGAUGUUCUUACUCGGCAGAAAACAAUACGAUUCCAAUUCACUGAAGAUUAAUGUGCUGCACCACGCUCACCCUACCGAAACCUUUACUUGAAGCUGCAGCCAAAGCCAAGAGGCCGUCGAGGUUGGCUGCGUCUGAUAAACUGUCUUCCCCCUUUCACAGAUUGCCCAUCUCCAUCUGCCACAUUAAGUCUAAAUACCUUUUUUUCUGGUGUCCAAGGUUUUUAUAAAACUUAAAAAUUACAAUGAAAAAUCUGGUGGCAACAGCUGCAGUCCCGAGUCAUGUUAAAUGUCUCCUGUCUCCAAUGGUGAGUUCACAAACUGUAAACAUGGUAGCUUAUAUCACCUGAACAAAUAAAUGUUUUACUAUGA